rnacentral:lncRNA from 1 species
GAUACCAAUAAGGUUUAUAAGGGGAAAAAUGCAUCAGUGACCAACUGCUUUUUCUAGGUAUGUUCAGCUGGCAGAGUAUUAAGUAUAAAAUACAUUUUCCUCUAAACUUCUGCUACCAGAGUUUUCAUUUCUGGAUUCUGAACAUAAACAGUCCAUGGUGCAAGGAGUGGUGAGAUGUCUCCAUUCAAAAAAAUUCAGAUGAGGCACCCAGCCCUGAUUGAAAUAUAGCCCACUGUUGGCUUUGACGGUACACAGUAUGUGGCCAGAGUGGUACAGGCCCAGAACAUAUCAGAGAUGGAAAAGUGGGACGCUCCUUUGUCUUGGUUGAUUCUACUUCCAAGCACUUUGAGAAGAAAAUUGGUACCUAGUAUUACGGAAGAGGGAAAAAAAUGCACUUCCUCCUUCUCCAUGUACAUAAGCAAAUGUCAUAAUCUUCAUUGGAGAAGUGUGGAGCUGGUAAGGACCCUUUGGAUCAUUAUGUCCAGCCCCUGUCAAGGAGGCACAGUGGAGAAUCCAACUCCCAAUUUUUGGCUCCAUGGCCAGAUAUCUAAACUAUCCAGCAGUUCAAUGAUGAAGCCCAGGUGUUGCAGCUCAACUGAAAAAAAGGCAAGUUCUUAAAAUUGUUCCAAGAUAAGGUUUCAGUGCCCUCUGCAUUGUGCACUGCCUAUCCUAUUGAUGAGCAGAUGUAGAAUGAACUAUAGAAUCAUUUUCUUAAUUUAGCUAUAUUUAUAUAGGUUAUAUAAUGCAGCAUCUCUUGAUGUAAAAUUUGUGUUGUCUAUGCAGGAUUUUUAUUUUUAUUUUACAUUAUUUUUAUUUUUAUUUUACAUUAAGCAGAGAAACACUUUUUCCCUAACUACAUCUAACUAGUGAUUCCUGCUUUAGUGGUGAUGCGACUCUGUCUUUCCAUCUGCUUCAAACUAGCAAGAUAAUUGAUGGUUGCUGGCAUAUUCCAUAUGUGUAUAACAGUCUCUGAGAAGACCAAACAGGAAACAGUAGAGAAAGAAUUCAGGCUGCUCCACAUAUUGAAAUG